GAUGAACGCUGGCGGCGUGCCUAAUACAUGCAAGUCGAGCGAACGGACGAGAAGCUUGCUUCUCUGAUGUUAGCGGCGGACGGGUGAGUAACACGUGGAUAACCUACCUAUAAGACUGGGAUAACUUCGGGAAACCGGAGCUAAUACCGGAUAAUAUUUUGAACCGCAUGGUUCAAAAGUAAAAGACGGUCUUGCUGUCACUUAUAGAUGGAUCCGCGCUGCAUUAGCUAGUUGGUAAGGUAACGGCUUACCAAGGCAACGAUGCAUAGCCGACCUGAGAGAGUGAUCGGCCACACUGGAACUGAGACACGGUCCAGACUCCUACGGGAGGCAGCAGUAGGGAAUGUUCCGCAAUGGGCGAAAGCCUGACGGAGCAACGCCGCGUGAGUGAUGAAGGUCUUCGGAUCGUAAAACUCUGUUAUUAGGGAAGAACAUAUGUGUAAGUAACUGUGCACAUCUUGACGGUACCUAAUCAGAAAGCCACGGCUAACUACGUG
rnacentral:rRNA from 1 species